rnacentral:rRNA from 1 species
AACGAACGUUGGCGGCGUGGAUUAGGCAUGCAAGUCGAACGCGAAUCCCUGGGCAACUGGGGAGGAGAGUGGCGAAAGGGGCAGUAAGGCGUGGGUAACCUACCCUCCGGGCCGGGAUAGCUUCGGGAAACUGAAGGUAAUACCGGGCGACGCAGCGAGAUCGCAUGGUCUUGCUGCCAAAGGUCCGCCGCCGGGGGAGGGGCUCACGUGGUAUUAGCUAGACGGCGGGGUAACGGCCCACCGUGGCAAAGAUGCCUAGCAGGUGUGAGAGCACGACCUGCGCCACUGGCACUGAGACACUGGCCAGAAACCUACGGGUGGCUGCAGUCGAGGAUCUUCGGCAAUGGGCGCAAGCCUGACCGAGCGACGCCGCGUGUGCGAUGAAGGCCUUCGGGUUGUAAAGCACUGUCGAGGGGGAGGAAGCCGCAAGGUUGACCUAUCCCUGGAGGAAGCACGGGCUAAGUUCGUG